UUACAUAUAAACUUGCCAUAUUGCUUUUCGCGGUGUAAAUAUGCGUCAGCCGUGAGUUCCUGUUUGUGGCGAGUAUAUUAAGGCACAUUUCAUAGAAAGCUAUACCCAUUUCGAGUAGGCCUAAUAGGAGGAAACGGUAACUAAUCUUUUAAGGGGAGCAAAUGAAUAAGCACUCUGUCAUAACUGCAGCGGUUUGCUAUCCUGUGGUGGAUUUGGGAAUAUAUUUGCUACAUUUCAUUGGAAAGUAGUAUGUUCGUCCAGCCUUCGUCCAGGUUCUGUCAACGGUGGUUAGUUAGCUAAUAACCAAGACACUACGGUAAGUCAUAAUGUUAGCCCUUCUGGGAUUCAUUUGGUUGCUAUUUAGCAUAGUUCUAGCUUAUAACGGAUGGUUGGCUGUCAGUGGUUGGGCAGAUUCUUUUUAGGUAGGGGGCUAAGUGUGUCUACUCGACGAUAAAUUGAGGUUACACAGUGAGGCGAUAUACUUUCUAUACGGGCUGUGAUACUACUAGCCUAAUGCAGGACGCAACUGACACAAAUCUGAGAAAUUAGCUAACUCUAGCCGCUACCUGGCUUCACUCAACCUAGAAUUCUGUUCAUAACGACAGCAUUUUCGUUUGGGGGCCGCAAGCUGGCAUCUGAAGGCUGUCUUCGGUUUCCACAAGUGUCAUGUUAGUUCUACAUACUGUAGGGGAGUCGACGGGCUUUCUUCUUUUUCUGUGUCAACUAGAACUAGUUUUAUGAGAGCAAGUGCUUGUGUUGUGUGACUUCUCCUGACUCCUGCGAUGUUCUUCCGAGGCCGAGCUCACUGCGACUUGCACCUUUCACAAGUCCGAACUCUGAUAAAUGCAGAGGGAGGGAUAGCUCGCGCAUUAAAUAUUACCGGUAUGUUAGGUGUGGUAAGUCGCAUCGUGUGUUUGGGCAGCUUGCCUGUGCAAGAAAAUGUUGUCGCGACAAUUGUUUAUUGUUUGUGUGUCAACUGGCGUUUCUUAUCUCGUAUGUGCUUUGCUUGCUUGAUUAGAGUCGUAGCUCUACUACGUAGCUGUUUGAUAAAUGCGGAUGAAGGCUACGCGUGGAAAACGUGUUUACAUUCACCAGUCGUUGUGUUCCAAAAUUACUUAAAUGUGGAGGGAAUAGUUAUCCAAUUUCUUUCAUUCACGAGCAGGGAUGUGUUGCUUUGUUGACGCUACAGGGAAGUUUCCUGGUUUAAAGAAAUUUGUGGCUAUAGGCAACAGCUACUUCAACAUGCUUUGCAUGAAAUCGUGCGUGUGUAACUUAGUUCUAGUGUGAGUGUGUGAUAUUGUACUCUGUGCAGUAUUUACGAAGGGACUGGUUGGUUAAUAUUUUUGUUUAUGUAAAUGAAAAAUGUAAAGUUGUGUGUAGUAGUGAGACAAAAGCCUUUCAUACAUUUAUUUAAGGUUGUCUGUUGUCUGUUUGAAGGUGUGUCUGCAAAGCUCUGAAACGUUUUGUCUUUUUUUAUCUCUUCUGCUCUGGAUAAGGUGGACUUCUCUCCUCUGACCGGUUACCAAGACAGCUGGGUGUGUAGGAAACUGGAACUAAGUCACUGAAGAAGUAAACCGAUGAAAACCGAUUUGGAUUGUCUGAGAGAUGUAACUGUAGGGCACAAGUAAGAGGAGAAGAAUGCUGCUCAGCUGGGUCGGCGUCGGCCACACUACUUAUUCAAGAAGCCCUUGGAUAUCAUCGGCAUGUAUGAAGCACAGUCAUUCCGGUAGUCCGUUCCUCGAUGGACGUGAUGACCUGGCACCAAAACCGCUUAAUGUGUACGGAGCUGUGUCUGCAUCGAGGGAAGAACGCGGCACUGAAAUGACACAAAUGAAAGAAGAUUACUUCUGCUCUGCUGGGUCUGUGACACUAUUUAUCCGAGGAGUCCUCAAACAUCAGGAUGUAGGAAGACACAAGUAAAAGGAGAAGAAUGCUGCUCAGCUGGGUCGGCGGCCACACUACUUAUUCAAGAAGCCCUUGGAUAUCAUCAGCAUGUAUGAAACUUGUGGUGAGAUGCCAAGAGCUGCCAUGAGGGAUAUGCAACCUGCAGCUUCACCGUGCUUUUGGGAGGUCAUCUACUACGUGAACCUUAAUAUCUACAAGUCAGCUACUUUAAAUCCUUGAAAGGGUAGUGAUGUCAAUCAAAUCAGAUCACGAGACAAGGUCCUGAGGUACAAACUGUCAAUAUAAUUGCGACAUCCCUGUCAGUUCUUUUGGACUGGAUACAUGCUGUGUUUGAAAUGUAUUAUUUGGAUAACCACCCAUCAGGGAAUACCUUGUUUGUUAAUGACAGAUAGACCUGCCAUGGACAUGUAGUGCACACUUUGAUGUUUUUUUAUUUUAACGUUUUCUAUGUUUUUUCAAUGUUUUUUUAUUUAUGUUCUGUUAUAUGCUGGUUAUGUAAGUACUGUAUGGAAUGUAGUGACUGUAGAGACCAAGACAAAUUUCAACCUGGGGACAAUUAAGUUCACUCCACUCUGUUAGCGCAGUUAUGGAUGCACUGUAAAGUUUGUAAUUAACAAAAAGUACGGUGAGAAGCCUGUUUGUGCAGAUGGACCUGCUGGCGGGUCUGUUUACUCAUAGCUAAAAAGCAACAUAUUCUCUGUGCAAAGCACAUGGGCUCUUCGCAAAGGGGUUAAACAUUUUAAUGUGCUGUUUUACAGUGUGCUAUACAAAAGGUAAGGUGAAACUAAAUUUUUGAAUUUCUAUAAUUGUACAGUGUCACUGAAAUCAAAUGGUACAUUGGUAAAACAGAACCAUUUCCUUUAACCCCUUUUAGCAGACCCUAUGUUUUAACUUUACUGUCACCAAUAUUGUAAUGACUGAGUUUUAACCUGUUACUUAAAGCUCUUGGUAAUGUCAUAGCAAUGUUGCUGUGAUGUAGUUGAGUCUUUUCGGUCAUGAGUGAUCAGUCUUGCUGAUAACCCAUCUUUGCAAAGAGGCUAAAAAGAUGCAUGUAAAUUCAAUUAAGGUUUUAUUGCUUCAAUGCUAUGAUGUGUUAAUGCUACACUG